rnacentral:rRNA from 1 species
GUGGGGAAUCUUCCGCAAUGGACGAAAGUCUGACGGAGCAACGCCGCGUGAGUGAAGAAGGUUUUCGGAUCGUAAAGCUCUUUCGUUAGGGACGAACGUGCUCUUUGUGAAUAAUGAGGAGUAAUGACGGUACCUAAAUAAGAAGCCACGGCUAACUACGUGCCAGCAGCCGCGGUAAUAAGUAGGUGGCAAGCGUUGUCCGGAAUUAUUGGGCGUAAGACGCGCGCAGGCGGGAUAUCAAGUAUGUCUUAAAAGUGCGAGGCUCAACCUCGUGAGGGGACAGAAACUGGUAUUCUUGAGUGUCGGAGAGGAAAGUGGAAUUCCAAGUGUAGCGGUGAAAUGCGUAGAGAUUUGGAAGAACACCAGUGGCGAAGGCGACUUUCUGGACGAUGUCUGACGCUGAGGCGCGAAAGCUAGGGGAGCGAACGGGAUUAGAAACCCUUGUAGUCC